UGGUAGUCCCUGUGGUGGUAGCACUGG
rnacentral:piRNA from 1 species